rnacentral:tRNA from 1 species
GUGGUUGUGGCUCAGUAGUAGAGUACUUGCCUAGCAUGUGUAAGGCACUGAGUUCGAUUCUCAGAAAACAUA